rnacentral:rRNA from 1 species
AUUGAACGCUGGCGGCAGGCUUAACACACGCAAGUCGAGCGGUAGCACAGGGGAGCUUGCUCCCUGGGUGACGAGCGGCGGACGGGUGAGUAAUGUCUGGGAAACUGCCUGAUGGAGGGGGAUAACUACUGGAAACGGUAGCUAAUACCGCAUAACGUCGCAAGACCAAAGAGGGGGACCUUCGGGCCUCUUGCCAUCAGAUGUGCCCAGAUGGGAUUAGCUAGUAGGUGGGGUAAUGGCUCACCUAGGCGACGAUCCCUAGCUGGUCUGAGAGGAUGACCAGCCACACUGGAACUGAGACACGGUCCAGACUCCUACGGGAGGCAGCAGUGGGGAAUAUUGCACAAUGGGCGCAAGCCUGAUGCAGCCAUGCCGCGUGUGUGAAGGAGGCCUUCGGGUUGUAAAGCACUUUCAGCGAGGAGGAAGGUGGUGAGCUUAAUACGCUCAUCAAUUGACGUUACUCGCAGAAGAAGCACCGGCUAACUCCGUGCCAGCAGCCGCGGUAAUACGGAGGGUGCAAGCGUUAAUCGGAAUUACUGGGCGUAAAGCGCACGCAGGCGGUUUGUUAAGUCAGAUGUGAAAUCCCCGGGCUCAACCUGGGAACUGCAUUUGAAACAGGCAAGCUAGAGUCUCGUAGAGGGGGGUAGAAUUCCAGGUGUAGCGGUGAAAUGCGUAGAGAUCUGGAGGAAUACCGAUGGCGAAGGCAGCCAUCUGGCCUAAUACUGACGCUGAGGUACGAAAGCAUGGGGAGCAAACAGGAUUAGAUACCCUGGUAGUCCAUGCCGUA